ACCUACCACCAGCAUCAAUGGCAGCCUCACUACAAACUGCAGCUACCUUCAUGCAACCCACCAAGGUUGGCUUAACCUCCCGUAACCUCAAAUCUUCUCAAUGCAUCUCUAAGGCUUUCGGCUUGGAACUCGCCGGACCUAAAUUCACCUGCUCUCUUCAGUCUGAUCUCAAAGACCUGGCUCAAAAAUGCGCCGACGCCACCAAACUUGCAGGAUUCGCCCUUGCCACCUCGGCUCUCCUAGUUUCUGUAUGUUUUACUUGCUUCCCUUUCUUUCUCCUUUACCAUCUUCAGUUACUGCCCUUUUAUUCAAACAAAUUAAACCAGCAUCACAAUUUCCAUUCAUUCGCACCAUGCAUACCAAGUUAGAAUUUCAUGAAAUGUUGUAUAUGAGAAAUGAUAUUUGUAGGAUUCCUUAUUCAGCAAACUAUUCAAGUAAUAAAAUUAGGUAUGAAUGAAUAACAGAAGUGAUUGUGAAAUUUCAGGGAGCAAGUGCAGAAGGUGUUCCAAAGAGGCUAACCUUCGACGAAAUCCAGAGCAAGACAUAUCUGGAAGUGAAGGGAACUGGAACUGCUAACCAGUGCCCAACCAUCGAUGGUGGAGUGGACUCAUUCGCCUUCAAGGCAGGCAAAUACAACGCCAAGAAGCUGUGUCUGGAACCCACUUCCUUCACGGUGAAGGCAGAGGGUGUGGCCAAGAACGCCCCUCUUGAGUUCCAAAACACCAAGCUCAUGACCCGUCUCACCUACACCCUCGACGAGAUCGAGGGCCCCUUCGAGGUUUCACCCGACGGAACUGUGAAAUUCGAGGAGAAAGACGGGAUUGACUACGCUGCUGUGACUGUUCAGCUUCCCGGGGGAGAGCGUGUGCCGU
rnacentral:lncRNA from 1 species